rnacentral:rRNA from 1 species
GACGAACGCUGGCGGCGUGCUUAACACAUGCAAGUCGUACGGUAAGGCCCUUUCGGGGGUCCACGAGUGGCGAACGGGUGAGUAACACGUGAGUAACCUGCCCACAACUUUGGGAUAACGCUAGGAAACUGGUGCUAAUACUGGAUAUGUGCUCCUGCUGCAUGGUGGGGGUUGGAAAGCUCCGGCGGUUGUGGAUGGACUCGCGGCCUAUCAGCUUGUUGGUGGGGUAGUGGCCUACCAAGGCGGCGACGGGUAGCCGGCCUGAGAGGGUGACCGGCCACAUUGGGACUGAGAUACGGCCCAGACUCCUACGGGAGGCAGCAGUGGGGAAUAUUGAACAAUGGGCGCAAGCCUGAUGCAGCAACGCCGCGUGCGGGAUGACGGCCUUCGGGUUGUAAACCGCUUUCAGCAGGGACGAAGCUUUUUGUGACGGUACCUGCAGAAGAAGCACCGGCUAACUACGUG